AAUAAUGGCCACAGUGAGGUCAAAGGUACACACCUGACAUUUCCUGCUUUUCCUGCUUCUAAUUGGCCAAGUCCGACGUUUACAUUUUUAAAACCAGGGGAAGUGUGGCAUUUACCCUUAUAUAAACACACAACGCCAUUCGGGAUGCAACAGCUGUCGAAGAUUUACAUGCCAACCAGUGCCACAAACUUGCAUCAUUAGAGUGUAAAUGCUCAGACAGCAAGGUACCUGCAACAUGUCACUCACUAUAUUUGUUAUUUGAACAGACGUGAGUUGAAAGCAUGAAAUCUGGCAAGAAGCAUGCAGGAGUGAUUUGUGACUGUAUUUUUAGCUCAAUGCUGUUCAUUUACUAUUUCAGUUACAGCCAUGAUUUGUAGAAGAUAAAUUUCCAUAGCAGCAGAAAAGCUGUGAGAGUAUACGUUUAAAUAUUUAAAAAUGCAACUGACUUUAGAACCUUGCGUGUUUAAUGUAAAUUGUGCCAUCAUUUGUAUUUAGCAAAUCAGGCAUUUCCCGUUUUCACAUAUAACCUAAGGAUACGUCAGAAAUUGAGAAGCCUAUAAAUUACACGAAACAAUCAAGUUCCCUAAAUCAGCACUAGAGUUCCCUAAAGGCUUGUUCCAUACUGUCGUUUCACAUUCUCUGUCAAGUUUUUCCCUUUCAAACACACACACACUGCGGCACAAAAAUGUACACUGUGAUUUUCUCAUUGAAAAAUGGCUGUGAGCAGCGAGCACCUAUGAAAAGCUACAGAAUUGUAUUUCCCCACAUCAUUUAUUUUCUUUGGGCUGCCGAGUCUUUCUCCCAUGCUUCAUGCUCUGGCUGCGGUGAGCUGAGAGAGAACAGGACACGCCUAAAAAACCCUAAAGUGUCUCUGGUGGCCGGUGUCAGUUGUGCACAGAGAUUGUGGUCCUUGGCCCCGACCCAAGGAUUAGGUGUUCCAGGGAAGAGAGAUUUCUUGGCCCUCACCAAUCCCCAAGAGUGCUUUGGGAAUUGUGUGUUUGUGUAUAUGUGCCUUUUCCCUCCUCCCUUCCCACCUCCUCUGCACUUGAGUUUUACGCCAUCUUCCUCCUCCUCAAAUGCCCACGAUAGCACGCGGAUGGCAUAAUCAGGGUCUGCCCUGGCUGGGUGGGUUUAAAAAAGACUGACAAAAUGUAGCUUGGAUUGCGAGGGGAGACAAAUCUAGUAAUAUAGUCAAACAGAGCGGGAGAGCGAGAAGGGGGGAGAAAAAGAGAGAGAGAGCAGUCAAAGGAGUGAGUGGUGGGGGAUCUUGGGCAAAGGAGGUAAGACAGGAUAUGAAAACAAUGGACUCAUUGUAGAGAAAUGAUAGUGGGAUGAAAAGGAGAUCAGUGGAACACAGCACCAUCUACAGGCUGAUACGACACACCAUCAGAUGAUCACAGGAGGACGCCCAGAAGUGGGUGGGAUGGCGUUUCCUUUCAUGACUGGAUAUCAUUUGUGAUUGGGAAGAAUAAAUGAUGAAUUCACUGUAGUGAUACGGGUGAAAUCGCUUUGAUAAGAGAUGGAUUAUGUCGGUUUUAUUGUUGCAACAUGAGAAACAGUGAGUCGGUUUGAAACCCUCCUGACAUGUUUCCACAUAAAAGGCUUCGACAAACAAGAGAGAGGUGACCUAUAGUGACAAAAUGCAUUCUUCUCCAUUUCCUGCAUUUUUACAGGCUGCACAUGAGGAGCUUGAAUUUCAAAUGGAACAGUUGUACGAAUGCCAGCUCUGACGCUUCCGCUCUGCUCCUAAGUCCCUCUUUCUGUUCUCCAGGUGACUGUUUUCUAGCCCCUCCACCUUUCCUGUGCCAAAAAUGCCAACUGUAACAACAAAGAGUGGCAGAUGCCAAGGGAAUCCCAGACGAAUGACCUCCGUGAAGCCGGCCUACCAAAGAGAAGCAAAUAUUUACCCUGCGUGUUUGAACCCAUGGCGCGGUGCCACGACUGCCCCUCGGAGCACAUACCGGGCCGAUAGGCUUACUCGUCCUCCAACUUUACUCUCUGGGACUCCUGGGUACACUCUACAUGACGCCAACUAAAGUAUUCUCAAUUUUCGACCAUCACGUCAUGGAGAGGAACAUGUCAGAAAGGGGUCUGACACAUGCCAGAGCUCAGCCGCCCUGAGACCAAUGUCUCCUUACGGGGCACGGACUUCAAAGUCCAUUUUGGAUGGACUGAUCUGAAGAACGCGAACUCGUCUCUGAUAACCAACAACAGAGCAGUCGGGAUCAGUGGAGAAGCCACCAAAUGAGAUCUCCUGGGCAUCAAACACACACAAUACAUAAAAUAUGUGCAUAUAUUAAUGUGCUGUUCUAUUCUUCUGUCGAGGUGAAGUUGGUUGAAAUAUGCUGACAGUCUUGGCUGUGCAUGAUUUACUCAUCUGUCAUCGCUGAAUAAUUAUACAUGGAAAACACAUACUGAUUGUAGUUUUCCUUGACUCGUUGACUCAGACUUUGGAAGAGUUUGUAGGUCAUGCCAGGGUGCAACAGAUGCAAGACAGCACAUCCGACCCACCUGUGCACUCCAUGGCCCCAUAACCCAGCAUCAUCCUCAAUCAGAUUAGCAUGUCCACUCCAAGAAAUGAGCUCUCAAAUCGGUCUUUAAUCCCUCAGGAUAAAAACAACAACAACAACAACAACAUGGCACCAUAUAGGACAGAUAUGCAAAACCUUAACCUGGGACAAGAAAAUGGCUACUUUGAUGCUAUGUGUCAGCCAUAAUUUUAACAAAAAAAAAAAAAAAAAAAUCAGACUUAAUCUGAUAAAAGGUUCCAGAUUAGGUGCGGCGCAAAUUGAAAAACUCUGAUAAACUUUGAAUGCCUGUUAGGAUUAGGGUAUUGUGCUUUAAUUUGGGUAUGUUGGUAUUGUGCUUCAAAUUGUAAUCCGUGUAUCCUGUAGGAGCAGUCAUCAACUACAUGGUGGGGAAGCAGGAGUUUAGAGGCAAAAUGGAGAUGCAUACAAUGUAUUGAGCUCUACUGAGCUUCAGUGGAUCAGCAGAUAUGGAAUCAAUCACUAGAGCUACUGAAUUUAUGGCUCUACUAAGCUUGUUCUACUAGCUAGAACAAGUUAGACAGGUGGGUUUUUGAGAACAGCGAUUCAAAAUAAAAUUAAGAAAUUCUUCAAUGGUAAACAAAAAGUAACUUUUUUACUGAAAUAUUCCACAUCAAGCUCCAUUUCGAAAAUGCAUGACUCCAGGAGUUGGCAUGCAGCGGCGAUUCAAGCCUGCUCAACCCACGCCGUCUCUAAAGACCCUAAACCAAAGCAAACAUUUCAACAACAUUUCCAUCCAUUCCUACUCUAACAGUGUGAUGAGAGCAGGUUAAAGCUGUAAGCCAUCAAAGUCUGCCGAGCAGCGUGCCCUGUUUGAAACUCAUCUGGAUCCCCCAUAAACACUCGGCUACUAAUUGACUACACAUGUGGCGCUGAGUGCAUUUUAGCAUGCGUUAGUGUGAGUGUGUGUGCCGUAGCGUGUUAGAAUGUGCAUGCGUGUGUUGGCAUAUACCAUGGCUUAUCAGUCUGAUCAAAGACAGCCUUUCCUUAAACUGUCUGGAAUAUGAAAGGCACACAAAGGCUUCAUGGUAAAUAUCUGAUCCGGAGAGUAAUUGGUACCUGUCUCGGAGAUCUGGCUCUUUGAUCGACACUCCUUUCCUCUUCCGUAGUUUAAAUGUGGAAAUAUAUUUACUGGUGGCUCCCCCACAUCCGAUCGUCGUGCACCAUCUGGGCAGGGUGCUAAAAGAUGCUCGCUGCCAAAAUGGGCUCUCUAAGCUCAUGAAACUGUCCUCGCUUCUUGUCACACUGCAUAUCAAGAAUACCUGGGAGGAAUGACAUACAAUUUAAUUAUUAGGAAAACAUGUAAAAUGUUAUAAGAAUAUUUAACAGGGCACUGAGAAGCACAUUAUUUUUAGUAAUAAAAGACUCAAAUUA